UUGAACGCUGGCGGCAGGCCUAACACAUGCAAGUCGAACGGUAACAGGAAGCAGCUUGCUGCUUUGCUGACGAGUGGCGGACGGGUGAGUAAUGUCUGGGAAACUGCCUGAUGGAGGGGGAUAACUACUGGAAACGGUAGCUAAUACCGCAUAACGUCGCAAGACCAAAGAGGGGGACCUUCGGGCCUCUUGCCAUCGGAUGUGCCCAGAUGGGAUUAGCUAGUAGGUGGGGUAACGGCUCACCUAGGCGACGAUCCCUAGCUGGUCUGAGAGGAUGACCAGCCACACUGGAACUGAGACACGGUCCAGACUCCUACGGGAGGCAGCAGUGGGGAAUAUUGCACAAUGGGCGCAAGCCUGAUGCAGCCAUGCCGAGUGUAUGAAGAAGGCCUUCGGGUUGUAAAGUACUUUCAGCGGGGAGGAAGGGAGUAAAGUUAAUACCUUUGCUCAUUGACGUUACCCGCAGAAGAAGCACCGGCUAACUCCGUG
rnacentral:rRNA from 1 species